UAUAAUGCAGUCGAGCGACAUCGAAGGAGCUUGCUCCUUCGAUGUUAGCGGCGGACGGGUGAGUAACACGUGGGCAACCUACCUUAUAGUUUGGGAUAACUCCGGGAAACCGGGGCUAAUACCGAAUAAUCUAUUUUACUUCAUGGUGAAAUACUGAAAGACGGUUUCGGCUGUCGCUAUAAGAUGGGCCCGCGGCGCAUUAGCUAGUUGGUGAGGUAACGGCUCACCAAGGCGACGAUGCGUAGCCGACCUGAGAGGGUGAUCGGCCACACUGGGACUGAGACACGGCCCAGACUCCUACGGGAGGCAGCAGUAGGGAAUCUUCCACAAUGGGCGAAAGCCUGAUGGAGCAACGCCGCGUGAGUGAAGAAGGUUUUCGGAUCGUAAAACUCUGUUGUAAGGGAAGAACAAGUACAGUAGUAACUGGCUGUACCUUGACGGUACCUUAUUAGAAAGCCACGGCUAACUACGUGCCAGCAGCCGCGGUAAUACGUAGGUGGCAAGCGUUGUCCGGAAUUAUUGGGCGUAAAGCGCGCGCAGGCGGUCCUUUAAGUCUGAUGUGAAAGCCCACGGCUCAACCGUGGAGGGUCAUUGGAAACUGGGGGACUUGAGUGCAGAAGAGGAAGUGGAAUUCCAAGUGUAGCGGUGAAAUGCGUAGAGAUUUGGAGGAACACCAGUGGCGAAGGCGACUUUCUGGUCUGUAACUGACACUGAGGCGCGAAAGCGUGGGGAGCAAACAGGAUUAGAUACCCUGGGUAGUCCACGCCGUAAACGAUGAGUGCUAAGUGUUAGAGGGUUUCCCGCCCUUUAGUGCUGAAGUUAACGCAUUAAGCACUCCGCCCUGGGGGAGUACGGCCGCAGGCUGAAACUCAAAGGGAAUUGACGG
rnacentral:rRNA from 1 species